UCAAAAAUUAGGACAGGAAGUGUCACCAUGGAUGUAACAUCAGAGCCUAUGUAUUUGUGCAUCAUUUUCCAAUAGCUAUCUCGUUCCUCCUGCUUCCAUCUUCCUCUCUGAGCCUCCUCCUCCGCAUCAUCUUUGCCACCCUCUGGAUUUAUGACUUCUACACCUUCAUAACCAAGCAAGCCAUUAACAGAUCUAUGCAUAGCGUUGCCAAACAUGGACAAGCCAGAGGUCAUGGCCGCAAAAAACCCUUUACUUUGAUUCUUAUCAGGAGUGCCCAUCUCUGUGUAUAUCCCCAGGUGAUUUCUUGAUUAUGAAAUCAGCUCUGAACUCAAUUCCUCGACGGAAGAUCCAAGGGGACAAGAACAGCU
rnacentral:misc_RNA from 1 species